rnacentral:rRNA from 1 species
GAUGAACGCUGGCGGCGUGCCUAAUACAUGCAAGUCGAGCGAACAGACGAGGAGCUUGCUCCUCUGACGUUAGCGGCGGACGGGUGAGUAACACGUGGAUAACCUACCUAUAAGACUGGGAUAACUUCGGGAAACCGGAGCUAAUACCGGAUAAUAUAUUGAACCGCAUGGUUCAAUAGUGAAAGACGGUUUUGCUGUCACUUAUAGAUGGAUCCGCGCCGCAAUAGCUAGUUGGUAAGGUAACGGCUUACCAAGGCAACGAUGCGUAGCCGACCUGAGAGGGUGAUCGGCCACACUGGAACUGAAACACGGUCCAGACUCCUACGGGAGGCAGCAGUAGGGAAUCUUCCGCAAUGGGCGAAAGCCUGACGGAGCAACGCCGCGUGAGUGAUGAAGGUCUUCGGAUCGUAAAACUCUGUUAUUAGGGAAGAACAAAUGUGUAAGUAACUAUGCACGUCUUGACGGUACCUAAUCAGAAAGCCACGGCUAACUACGUG